CCAAGAGCUUGGCACAGUUCAUUAACGAUCAGAACAUCAAAGAUCUGAAAGUCUGGACAAGCCAGAUGAAGAGGACCAUUCAGACUGCUGAGGCUCUGAGAGUGCCUUAUGAGCAGUGGAAAGUCUUAAAUGAAAUUGAUGCGGGAGUCUGUGAAGAAAUGACAUAUGAAGAAAUUCAGGAAAAUUAUCCAUUAGAAUUUGCUUUGAGAGACCAGGACAAAUACAGAUACAGAUAUCCUAAGGGGGAGUCUUAUGAAGAUCUUGUUCAAAGGUUAGAGCCAGUAAUUAUGGAGCUGGAAAGGCAGGAAAAUGUGCUUGUAAUCUGUCAUCAAGCUGUUAUGCGCUGUCUGCUUGCUUACUUUUUGGAUAAGCCUGCAGAACAACUGCCUUAUCUCAAGUGCCCUCUGCAUACGGUCUUAAAACUAACUCCAGUGGCUUACGGUUGCAAGGUGGAAUCUAUAUUUCUAAAUGUCGAGGCUGUGAAUACACACAGGGAUAAACCACAGUCAUGGGGAUCUAUCUGCGCUUUUGGGAAGCACCUAGGUGUAGACCAGUACGGAGAUAGCCCUGAAGAAAUUAUGCGGCAGCCUGUCCUGUUCAACAUUGCCUGCAUGAGCAGACACAGCCAGUGCUCGUGGGACCAAGGGCAAAGUGAUGUGGCUGUGCAAGGGUGUGGGGAAGUGGCCGUGGAAGCAACCAGGCCCCUCUGCCAGCUUUCCGGAUACGCAGAAUGUAGACAUUGCCAGACCUCCCAAGGAAGCCCUUGUAACUGUCCCUGCUCACCAGUGAAUCCUGUUUCCUGAUCAGCUCUGAAACGUGGCUUCAAAGUCUCUCCUCUAAACCAACUGGAUUGCAUUGGCUUGGUUCCAGAUGCUGGUCUACCUAGGAGCACUGGUAACUUGAUUAAACCAUUGCUCCUACUGAUCCUUUCUCAGCUGUUGUCAGCCUUCCCAGAAUGUGUGUGUGAGCCGCUCUCGAGAAGAAGCCUUGAGGACUGUACCUAAUCAUUUGUAGCUCGCUGCACUUCCAGCAUUGUCCCAGGCUGCUACCCAGUGUCAACAUUAAGGAAACUUCUCAGGGACAGGAUGAUGAAAGCCUUCAAAGGAGGCAGCCAGCAACACAGUAAUGUGUGCUCUCCUCUUUCAGAAUGGAUUUCAAGGCAAACGGAGCAUUAAAGGCUAAAAUGUACCAAGUAUUUAUAGAACACAGGAUGAAAUUAGUUUUAACUUAAUAUAUGUUUUCUUCAGGCAGUCAUUCUUGAUCUUGAAUGUAACGUAUGAAUUGUCAAGUGUUAUUUUGAGAUUCUUCUAGAGUUAGAAUAUUUUCCUAAGCUGUUCUUUCUGUUAAAAACCAUCCUUCUCUAAUUAUUUUAUUCAAAUAUUAUGCACACAAAAUCUUAUGCACGUGAAAAAUGUUUUAAAAUAUUUCAUCUACCAGACAGGAUAUCCAUCUCCAUCAAAAUUCAUUCCAGUUUUUUUCCCAUUUCAUAAUUACAUUACUUUGGUUGAUAACACAAAAAGCUACAUUUUUUAAAAUCAAGUCAGUGUUAUAAAGUGGACUAUUAAAAUUUCCAUUUUGGGGGGAGGCAAUAAUGCUGUAUUAGUUGGUAUAAUAACACAAACUUUCUAAAUAAUUUUAUUAAAGGUUCUAUUUCCAUUUUAGCGUCUAAAAUAUUUUCUCUGUUACACUCCUACAACAUGAAGUGCUUCCAGAGCCUCCUGGAUAAUUUAUUCAAAUGAUUUUUGAUAGAUAAUAUGAGUAGAUUUCUUUCUACUUCAUAUACAAAGUAAAACCAUUUUCUGAUCUUUUUUUAAAAAAAUCCCUAAUUCCAUUUGAGAAUACUGAUGGAUACUCUAAUUAGCCAGAGUUGUCCUGCAUAUUAUUCACAAUUUCUAUGAAGACCAUUCCAUACAUUUUUCUUCAAGGAGAUUCCAAUAAAGCCUCUGAAAAUUAAAAUAAUCUUAUACAGACAAUAAUUAGACAAAGUAAGAACAUGGAACAUGGUUAUUGGAGAUUAAAUAACCUUAUUAGUGCAAUGUGCAACACCAGUUUUGAAAAAUACAAAUGACUAAGGAGCUCUAGUGAUUUCAUGGCAUUUAUGAACUUCUUCCUUUUUUCUUGAACCAAAGACACAGAUGAAGUAUUAGCUUGCUUUGUGUGUUUUUUGGGGGGGAAGAAUAUUAGUGAUUCCCUCCGUUUUUCACUUAAAAUAUAGGCAUAGGUAAGAUGAAAUAUAUUCUUUAGUGGAGGAGCUGGCAGAUGUCAUGGAUUAAUUACCAUCAUGCAAAUUCCAUAAUGAAGGAGGGGUUCACUCCCUAAGAAAGUAAUAAUUAGUUUUUCAAAUUGUCUUUAAGAUUUUGCAGGACCAUCAAAUCUUACAAGAUUUCAUUUAACUUACACAUUCCUGCCUGAAGCCUCCUGAGAUAUCAGUGUUCUUGACUGACAUUCAUGCAAGAAUUUCAAAAUGUGGGAGAUUUCACAAUGGCACAUGAUUUCUGCCUUUAAGUUUUUUUUUUAUAUGCUUUUAAAAACAUUAAUUUCGGGUGUGGACACUGAUGUUUGCAAGUGCUUUGUUGCUAAGCCCUGAUUUAGCAUUCUGGUGUUCUUUCACAAAAGAACCAGCACAUUCUUCAGCCCCAUCAUCAUCAUCAUCAUCAUCAUCAUCAUCUUUGGAGAUUAGCAUCUACCACUUCUCCUGUGUGGCUUGAGAAGAAGGCAUAAGAGGGAUGAAACAUAGUGAAAAAUGUACCCCUGUAGUUGGAUUCUCAAGGAUGCACAGAAGAAUGCAGGUUAAUUUGCAGAAUUUUAGCAUCCUGCUUUCAAAUGGAAUUUGUACAGAAGAAAUUCCUCUUUGAGUUUGCAUGUUAAGUCAUAUAUAUAUAUUUGUACUAAGCCAUUAUAUAAUGUAAAUAUUUGUGUGUUAGAAACCAAGCAGCAGAUUAGAUACCUGUAAAUUCUUGAAACAAAAACAGUUUUGUCCUCUCCAGUUGGAAAGUGUUUUUUAAAAUCUCACUGUCUAUAUAGAUACCUUACUGAAUCAUGCUAUUUCAAUGGUAAAUGUUCUGUGCAAUGUACCAUGUUAGCUUUGCAAAUGAGGCUCAGAUUGUUUCUUUAUUUUUGUGUAGCUGGUAUUAUAAUGUAAGAUGUUGCUAUGCUGUGAAUUCCUUGUUUUGCAAUGCAUUCAGUGCUGUGGAUGUAAGCCAGAAAGUCAAACAUACAUCAGAAAGACAAAAAGAUGGUGUUAAAAUCGAAAUUACUUAAACCACAUAUAAAAAAGCACUUGAGGUGUAUUCUAUCAUAAAAUAAUACAUAUUUGCACUGUAAAGUAUUUAUUCAGGUAGAUAAUUAUUAACUCUGUUUACCUGACUGGAAGAUACACCCCCCCCUCCAAAUUACCCUUGAAUGAGAGGGAGGGUGCGGUUGAAAAUAACUGGCAGCACAGAGGAAGAGAGAGGCUGCUUUUCUGUAAUGCCUAAAUGGGGCUUCUCUCUCUCUCCUUUCCCCAUCCAAAUAUAUCUCCCACCAGUUUUCUUGAUUUCAUUUUCCAGUGAAGCUACCCCAAAACUCUGCAUCUACAUCCUCCCUUUUUCCCAGCUUCCACUGGAAGGAGAGAAGGGACUCUGUGUAUGUGUGCAUAUAUGUUUCUCUGUGCAAGACUGAUUAAUAUGUGUAUGUGAAAGAAUUAUUGGCAUGUGCACACAGGGAAUAUUUUUAGUUAAUACUAAUGUUUGCCUGAUCCUGUCCUUAUUUGGAUCUUGCUUUUUAGGAAAUAUGAGCACACCUGCAUAGAGGUGUAACAUGCACAGGUUACGUCAUACAUAAACAUUGAAAAGGGUGGACAUCUCCAGGAUUGGUUUCAGUUGGAGUGGCAACCAUAAGCCUGACAUAGUAAAUAUACUUGUCUAUUUUUUUUCUCCAUUUACUUUUCUUUUGGGGGGAUGGGUUGCCUUCUCUUUGGAUAGAUACAGGUAGUCCUUGGCUUA